UCCUGCCGCACCGCUUUGACCACCGCUCUAGAAGACUCAAUCCCUCUUCCCUUGCCCUUUAACCGCACGAGCCGCCCCUUCCAUGGUCAGGUCCUCCGACACCGUGGUGGUCACCGACACGCUCCCAUCAUCCCCCACCGCUGCCGUAGCUCUCCUCCUAGACGGCGUCCCUCGAAUCAGCCGUAUGGUUCGCCGGGUGGGCGCAACAACGGCCAUCAGCGCUUGUGGCAGGCUGGCAGCUCCAGAUCGGGGGCACUAAAUUGCCUCAGGACCACCCUGCUGCCGCCUCCGACGCCAUGGGCAAGGUGGAGUGCAGAUGAUAGUGGCAGCGCAGAGAUCCCUCUGUAGGAGCGGAGCUGAGGCUCACGGACGGACGGCCGGCGUGCCAGUGGCGGCGGUCCUCAGGAUUGGUACUCCAUGAGCAGCUAUUCUUCCUGACGGGGAUGCAGUGGGAGCGGCGACAACGGCCGCCUGGCCACCGCGUCCCUUUCUCGACUUCAACAAGGCGCCGCCGCCGUUUUACCCAGGAGAGAGAAGAGGAGAGGCGGGGGUCAGGAGCAUCCCCGACAGCACCAAGUCGACCAUGGCCGGUGUGCCCAUCCCCAACACAGAGAUUUUGGCUCCCACGGGCCACAAGUGCAGGUGCCUUCAGAGCAGGUCAACCACGUGACCUUCAGGGUGAAUUCAGGGUCGCGCGCACGUGGGUCACAAGCGUUGCAGCGAUGCCGGCGACCACUGACGCAGGAACUCCGGCAUCCAGUUCAGUCAAGUCAUGCCAUCAGUGGUUCACCACAUGGAGCGGUGGGGUACUACGUGCGUGGAAUCACUUGCUGGUUGCCGUCAAUCAUGGCAACAUGCUCCUUGCUACUGGAGUGCGUGCUACAGGUCUCCUACGGCGCAGCUCCAUUCAGCGACAAACUCAAUAAACUUACUGAAGGUUUACCCACACCUAGACUUCAUUCAGAUGAAAGAGCCACUUAUAAUGGUGCACAUCUGCUUCAGAUGUACGCUUUCCUAGAGCAAGGUGGACGUGUUCGAUGGUUUAUCUUAGGAUGAAUAAAGAUAUGUAACUUGUUAGCGAUCAAGACUGACCAGUAUUUGUUUACAUGUGGUUGGCUCAUGUCCUGGUCUCCUGGAUCACAUUGAAAACCUAGCAUAUGUUCUCUUGCAGAUUUUCUAAUGUGCUUUUCCUGACUGGCAAAUUAGCUUACACCAUCUGUGUAGAUUUUUUUGCAGGAGUAAUUCAAUAGUUUGGAGCGUGAGAGACCACCAAAAAGUUCAGAGGAAAAAACACUGAAAACAUCUAUUGUAUGCCCAUUCAGAGAUCAACAUGUCUUCUUCUAUAGAACAAGUUUCCGUUGCUGUUGUUUUCAUAGGGGUUUGUACUAGACCAUGCUAUUUGCUAGGCACAAAUGAAUCUAUCUUGAAGUAUUUGUGUCUCCAUUCAUUUAAUUUCCGAAAUAGAACAUCAGUUUCUAGAUGGCACCCGGAUGAUGAUGUCUCCAUUCAUAGUGCUUUGUUUCUUUCGUUAGCAAAUUCUAUAAAACAUUUAUGAGGAAGUAUACAACCAAUUAUUCGAAGUGGCUUCAGUGUAUAAAACCCCUUCUGACCAACUGAUGGAUGCAUCUACUGGUUAUUGAUAGAUUUGGGGUUGUGACUUCUGCACUCUAGCAUUAUAUCUUUUAGUUGUCCUACGAUGUAGCACUUGAUGUUGGAAAUCGAAGCCUUUUUUUAACUA